rnacentral:rRNA from 1 species
CAGGACGAACGCUGGCGGCGUGCCUAACACAUGCAAGUCGAGCGAGGAGAGUCCUUCGGGAUGAUCCUAGCGGCGGACGGGUGAGUAACACGUGGGCAACCUGCCUCAUAGAGAGGAAUAGCCUUCCGAAAGGGAGAUUAAUACCUCAUAACAUUGCAGUUUCGCAUGGAACAGCAAUUAAAGGAGCAAUCCGCUAUGAGAUGGGCCCGCGGCGCAUUAGCUAGUUGGUGAGGUAACGGCUCACCAAGGCGACGAUGCGUAGCCGACCUGAGAGGGUGAUCGGCCACAUUGGGACUGAGACACGGCCCAGACUCCUACGGGAGGCAGCAGUGGGGAAUAUUGCACAAUGGGGGAAACCCUGAUGCCAGCAACGCCGCGUGAGUGAUGACGGCCUUCGGGUUGUAAAGCUCUGUCUUCAGGGACGAUAAUGACGGUACCUGAGGAGGAAGCCACGGCUAACUACGUGCCAGCCGCCGC